rnacentral:sRNA from 1 species
GUCGUGAGAUGUUGGGUUAAGUCCCGCAACGAGCGCAACCCUUGUCAUUAGUUGCUACGAAAGGGCACUCUAAUGAGACUGCCGGUGACAAACCGGAGGAAGGUGGGGAUGACGUCAAGUCCUCAUGGCCCUUAUGGGUAGGGCUUCACACGUCAUACAAUGGUACAUACAGAGGGCCGCCAACCCGCGAGGGGGAGCUAAUCCCAGAAAGUGUAUCGUAGUCCGGAUUGUAGUCUGCAACUCGACUGCAUGAAGUUGGAAUCGCUAGUAAUCGCGGAUCAGCAUGUCGCGGUGAAUACGUUCCCGGGUCUUGUACACACCGCCCGUCACACCAUGGGAGCGGGUUUUACCAGAAGUAGGUAGCUUAACCGCAAGGAGGGCGCUUACCACGGUAGGAUUCGUGACUGGGGUGAAGUCGUAACAAGGUAGCCGUAUCGGAAGGUGCGGCUGGAUCACCUCCUUUCUAGAGUAUGGCGCCACGCCAAACGCUCACACUUAUCGGCUGUUGACAAUUAAAGAACAGCAUUGGGGCUGUAGCUCAGCUGGUUAGAGCACCGUGUUGAUAACGCGGGGGUCGUUGGUUCGAGUCCAACCAGCCCUACCAGUCACACCCGGGGGGAUUAGCUCAGCUGGGAGAGCACCUGCUUUGCAAGCAGGGGGUCGUCGGUUCGAUCCCGUCAUCCUCCACCAUUACUGUUCAAACGUAAGCGAAGUGGCAACACUCGCGUUUAGGUUUGAGUAGUAGCGUUCUUUAACAAUUCGGAAGAAGUAAAGUUUUAUGAGGACAUAUCGAGAGAUAUGUUUUCAGGGUAGUAGUAAAACUCAUCAAACACAGUAGUGAAUGCUUAGAACUAUAGCCGUCAAGGUUAUAGGGACAAGUGAAUAAGUGCACAUGGUGGAUGCCUUGGCGAUUACAGGCGAUGAAGGACGUAGUAGUCUGCGAUAAGCUUCGGGGAGCUGACAAACAAGCUUUGAUCCGAAGAUUU